UAGUACGGCGAGUGAAGCGGCAACAGCUCAAUUUGAAAUCUGGCUCUUUCAGGGUCCGAGUUGUAAUUUGCAGAGGGCGCUUUGGCGUUGGCAGCGGUCCAAGUUCUUUGGAACAGGACGUCACAGAGGGUGAGAAUCCCGUACGUGGUCGCUAACCUUCGCCGUGUAAAGCCCCUUCGACGAGUCGAGUUGUUUGGGAAUGCAGCUCUAAAUGGGAGGUAAAUUUCUUCUAAAGCUAAAUACUGGCCAGAGACCGAUAGCGCACAAGUAGAGUGAUCGAAAGAUGAAAAGCACUUUGGAAAGAGAGUCAAAUAGCACGUGAAAUUGUUGAAAGGGAAGCGCUUGCAGCCAGACUUGCCUGUAGUUGCUUAUCCGGACUUUUGUCCGGUGCACUCUUCUGCAGGCAGGCCAGCAUCAGUUUGGGCGGUUGGAUAAAGGUCUCUAUCACGUACCUCCCUUCGGGGUUGGCCUUAUAGGGGAGACGUCAUGCAACCAGCCUGGACUGAGGUCCGCGCAUCUGCUAGGAUGCUGGCGUAAUGGCUGUAAGCGGCCCGUCUUGAAACACGGACCAAGGAGUCUAACAUCUAUGCGAGUGUUUGGGUGUCAAGCCCAGACGCGUAAUGAAAGUGAACGGAGGUGGGAACCUUUUAGGUGCACCAUCGACCGAUCCUGAUGUCUUCGGAUGGAUUUGAGUAAGAGCAUGGCUGUUGGGACCCGAAAGAUGGUGAACUAUGCUUGAAUAGGGUGAAGCCAGAGGAAACUCUCGUGGAGGCUCGCAGCGGUUCUGACGUGCAAAUCGAUCGUCAAAUUUGGGCAUAGGGCGAAAGACUAAUCGAA
rnacentral:rRNA from 1 species